rnacentral:rRNA from 1 species
AGAGUUUGAUCAUGGCUCAGGAUAAACGCUGGCGGUGUGCUUUAUGCAUGCAAGUCGAACGGGCCACUUCGGUGGUUAGUGGCAGACGGGUGAGUAACACGUAAGUAACCUACCCUAAAGUGGGGAAUAACUCCGAGAAAUUGGAGCUAAUACCGCAUGUGAAUCAUCUUCACAAGAGGAUGAUUUAAAGGCUUCGGCCGCUUUUGGAGGGGCUUGCGUACGAUUAGCUGGUUGGUGGGGUAACGGCCUACCAAGGCAACGAUCGUUAGCUGGUUUGAGAGGACGACCAGCCACACUGGAACUGAGACACGGUCCAGACUCCUACGGGAGGCAGCAGCAAGGAAUAUUGGGCAAUGGGCGAAAGCCUGACCCAGCGACACCGCGUGAGGGAAGAAGGCCUUCGGGUUGUAAACCUCUUUUAUCAGGGAAGAUAAUGACGGUACCUGAUGAAUAAGCCUCGGCUAACUACGUGCCAGCAGCCGCGGUAAUACGUAGGAGGCGAGCGUUAUCCGGAUUUACUGGGCGUAAAGCGGGUGUAGGCGGUCUGUCAAGUUUGGUGUGAAAUCUCCCGGCUUAACUGGGAGGGUGCACUGGAUACUGGCGGACUGGAGUGCAGCAGAGGAAAGUGGAAUUCCCGGUGUAGUGGUGAAAUGCGUAGAUAUCGGGAAGAACACUCGUGGCGAAGGCGGCUUUCUGGGCUGUAACUGACGCUGAGACCCGAAGGCGUGGGGAGCAAACAGGAUUAGAUACCCUGGUAGUCCACGCAGUAAACUAUGGAUACUAGGUAUAGGGAGUAUCGACCCUCUCUGUGCCGAAGCUAACGCUUUAAGUAUCCCGCCUGGGGACUACGGUCGCAAGACUAAAACUCAAAUGAAUUGACGG